rnacentral:rRNA from 1 species
GGAAACGAUAGCUAAUACCGCAUAACAGUAGAUGUUGCAUGACAUUUGCUUAAAAGGUGCAAUUGCAUCACUACCAGAUGGACCUGCGUUGUAUUAGCUAGUUGGUGGGGUAACGGGCUCACCAAGGCGACGAUACAUAGCCGACCUGAGAGGGUGAUCGGCCACACUGGGACUGAGACACGGCCCAG